AGAAUGGUACGAUCCUUGGAAAAAAUGAAGAAAUAGUGCUUCUCAGACUUCAUUGAGCACACGGACCACCUAAAGAUCGUGCCAAAAUGGAAACCCUGAACCAACUUCAGAGGGCAGGAUGGGAGACAGAGAUAGAAAUGAGAAAGCAGGAAGGAAAAGUACUGAGAAGACUGGCUUUCUAGAAUGUAUCAUGUUGUUAUGCUGUGAACAAUGGGAACCUCUUCAGUAAAUAACCUUUAAACAACAGGAUAAAUCCAAAUGACAUGACAAAUUAUUGGCCCAAUUCAGAUGAUGGAGAAGAGACUGCACCUGUUGAUCCAUGGGCGGUACAGGAUUAAUAAUCAAGAAAAAGGGGUCCAGACAUAUCAAAACAUUUAAAACAGGGGCUGGAAAUGGAGGACAAAGAAGCAAAUCUCUGGCCGUAAGCAAGACAUAGUAAG